rnacentral:rRNA from 1 species
UACAGAGGGGGCAAGCGUUGUUCGGAAUUACUGGGCGUAAAGGGCGCGUAGGCGGCCUGUUAAGUCGAACGUGAAAUCCCCAAGCUCAACUUGGGAACUGCGUCCGAUACUGGCAGGCUUGAAUUCGGGAGAGGGAUGUGGAAUUCCAGGUGUAGCGGUGAAAUGCGUAGAUAUCUGGAGGAACACCGGUGGCGAAGGCGGCAUCCUGGACCGAUAUUGACGCUGAGGAGCGAAAGCCAGGGGAGCAAACGGG